AGUGAAAUUGCUGGGUUAAGUGGCAACUCCGUGCUUAAGAUUUUGAGGAACUGCCAAACUGUUUCCCAAAAUAGUUGUGCCAUUUUACAUUCCCACCAGCAAU
rnacentral:pre_miRNA from 1 species